rnacentral:snRNA from 1 species
AUCGCUUCUCGGCCUUUUGGCUAAGAUCAAGUGUAGUAUCUGUUCUUAUCAGUUUAAUAUCUGAUACGCCCCCUAUCUCGGGGGCCAUAUAUUAAAUGGAUUUCUAGAACAGGGAGAUGGAAGAAGAGCUUGCUCUGUCCACUCCACGCAUUGACCUGGUAUUGCAGUACCUCCAGGACCGGUGCACAAAAA